rnacentral:rRNA from 1 species
UACGGAGGGGGCUAGCGUUGUUCGGAAUUACUGGGCGUAAAGCGCACGUAGGCGGCGUGGUAAGUCGGGUGUGAAAUCUCGGAGCUUAACUCCGAAACUGCAUUCGAUACUGCCGUGCUUGAGGACUGGAGAGGAGACUGGAAUUUACGGUGUAGCGGUGGAAUGCGCAGAUAUCAGGAGGAACACCGGUGGCGAAGGCGGGUCUCUGGGCCGAAACUGACGCUGAGGAGCGAAAGCGUGGGGAGCGAACAGG